GAUGAACGCUGGCGGCGUGCUUAACACAUGCAAGUCGAACGAUGAAGCCCAGCUUGCUGGGUGGAUUAGUGGCGAACGGGUGAGUAACACGUGAGUAACCUGCCCUUAACUCUGGGAUAAGCCUGGGAAACUGGGUCUAAUACCGGAUAGGAGCGUCCACCGCAUGGUGGGUGUUGGAAAGAUUUAUCGGUUUUGGAUGGACUCGCGGCCUAUCAGCUUGUUGGUGAGGUAAUGGCUCACCAAGGCGACGACGGGUAGCCGGCCUGAGAGGGUGACCGGCCACACUGGGACUGAGACACGGCCCAGACUCCUACGGGAGGCAGCAGUGGGGAAUAUUGCACAAUGGGCGAAAGCCUGAUGCAGCGACGCCGCGUGAGGGAUGACGGCCUUCGGGUGGUAAACCUCUUUCAGUAGGGAAGAAGCGAAAGUGACGGUACCUGCAGAAGAAGCACCGGCUAACUACGU
rnacentral:rRNA from 1 species